rnacentral:rRNA from 1 species
GACGAACGCUGGCGGCGUGCUUAACACAUGCAAGUCGAACGGAAAGGCCCUGCUUUUGUGGGGUGCUCGAGUGGCGAACGGGUGAGUAACACGUGAGUAACCUGCCCUUGACUUUGGGAUAACUUCAGGAAACUGGGGCUAAUACCGGAUAGGAGCUCCUGCUGCAUGGUGGGGGUUGGAAAGUUUCGGCGGUUGGGGAUGGACUCGCGGCUUAUCAGCUUGUUGGUGGGGUAGUGGCUUACCAAGGCUUUGACGGGUAGCCGGCCUGAGAGGGUGACCGGCCACAUUGGGACUGAGAGACGGCGCAGACUCCUACGGGAGGCAGCAGUGGGGAAUAUUGCACAAUGGGCGGAAGCCUGAUGCAGCAACGCCGCGUGCGGGAUGACGGCCUUCGGGUUGUAAACCGCUUUAGCCUGUGACGAAGCGGGAGUGACGGUAAUGGGUAAAGAAGCACCGGCUAACUACGUG